rnacentral:rRNA from 1 species
CGGUGUAACGGUGGAAUGUGUAGAUAUCGGGAAGAACACCAAUGGCGAAGGCAGGUCUCUGGGCUGUUACUGACGCUGAGAAGCGAAAGCGUGGGGAGCGAACAGGAUUAGAUACCCUGGUAGUCCACGCCGUAAACGGUGGACGCUGGAUGUGGGGCCCAUUCCACGGGUUCUGUGUCGGAGCUAACGCGUUAAGCGUCCCGCCUGGGGAGUACGGCCGCAAGGCUAAAACUCAAAGAAAUUGACGGGGGCCCGCACAAGCGGCGGAGCAUGCGGAUUAAUUCGAUGCAACGCGAAGAACCUUACCUGGGCUUGACAUGUGCCUGACGACUGCAGAGAUGUGGUUUCCUUUCGGGGCAGGUUCACAGGUGGUGCAUGGUCGUCGUCAGCUCGUGUCGUGAGAUGUUGGGUUAAGUCCCGCAACGAGCGCAACCCUCGCCCUGUGUUGCCAGCGGGUUAUGCCGGGAACUCACGGGGGACCGCCGGGGUUAACUCGGAGGAAGGUGGGGAUGACGUCAGAUCAUCAUGCCCCUUACGUCCAGGGCUUCACGCAUGCUACAAUGGCCAGUACAACGGGUUGCUUCAUGGUGACAUGGUGCUAAUCCCUUAAAACUGGUCUCAGUUCGGAUCGUAGUCUGCAACUCGACUACGUGAAGGCGGAGUCGCUAGUAAUCGCGAAUCAGCAACGUCGCGGUGAAUGCGUUCCCGGGCCUUGUACACACCGCCCGUCAAGUCAUGAAAGUGGGCAGCACCCGAAGCCGGUGGCCUAACCCUUUUGGGAUGGAGCCGUCUAAGGUGAGGCUCGUGAUUGGGACUAAGUCGUAACAAGGUAGCCGUACCGGAAGGUGCGGCUGGAUCACCUCCUUUCUACGGAG